AACGAACGCUGGCGGCAUGCCUAACACAUGCAAGUCGAACGAAGGCUUCGGCCUUAGUGGCGCACGGGUGCGUAACGCGUGGGAAUCUGCCCUUGGGUUCGGAAUAACUCAGAGAAAUUUGAGCUAAUACCGGAUGAUGACGUAAGUCCAAAGAUUUAUCGCCCAAGGAUGAGCCCGCGUAAGAUUAGCUAGUUGGUGGGGUAAAGGCCUACCAAGGCGACGAUCUUUAGCUGGUCUGAGAGGAUGAUCAGCCACACUGGGACUGAGACACGGCCUAGACUCCUACGGGAGGCAGCAGUGGGGAAUAUUGGACAAUGGGGGGAACCCUGAUCCAGCCAUGCCGCGUGAGGGAAGAAGGUCCUCUGGAUUGUAAACCUCUUUUGGCAGGAAACAAACCUGCGCUAUACGCGCAGCUGAGGGUACCUGCAGAAUAAGCACCGGCUAACUCCGUG
rnacentral:rRNA from 1 species